ensembl:lncRNA
CAAGAUAGAACAAGGCCAAUCAUUGGAUGAGAAGGAAGGAUGGGCGGGAGAAAAGUUUGAGGGAAGAGGAGGAGACUGGAACAGAAAGAGCCUGGAAGAAGAAGCUGUUGAGAGAACAUGGAGUUAAGAUCAUGUGCACAUCGUGGCUGGAAAUAGAGAAGACCAAGCCGCUUGGUACAAUAAAGUGAGAAGACAUUAACCAGUUGGAGGGAAGGAGGUUGGGGUGCUGGAUGAGAGAAGGUCAAGGUCAAGCACCUGAAGACCCUGUGAGUUCAAUAUUGGAAUGGCGGUCUUAUACUUGGAAAAGAUUUAUUGUUGUGAAAAAUCUAAAAGAUUGGAUUCACCCACGGAUGCAGAAGUAUAGAUAUAUCUGCUACCUCCAGUUGAAGGAGCUGAAAGGAAAAGGCAUUAUUUGGUUUGGUAAUUACUACAUCACUGAAGGAUAGCCCUUCGGGAAAUGGCUUCUCCUAUUCUAGAUGCAAGCAUCUGAAUUCCAUUCAGGCUCACUACCAGGUGCUGAUUCUUAAGCCUUGACUGACACAUGUGGAAUUAAGGAAGGGUGGUUUAGAAUGAUAUCAUCUUUAAAGCAGCCAUAUGAAAAAAGAAACCUUCACAGAAGUCCAUUCAUACACUAUUAUAAGCAUGAUUGUCCUCGGUUCUUUCUGUUACUUUAGACGGACAAGUGAGAAGAACAAUGCGGAGACAAGGACAACUGACAGUGAGGCUGACUGUCCAUGGGCAGGCACUGUGCACCAGAUGCACACAAAUGUCAGUAAUGUGUUUUGUAAAAUGAAAGAGC